rnacentral:rRNA from 1 species
AGAGUUUGAUCAUGGCUCAGAACGAACGCUGGCGGCAUGCCUAACACAUGCAAGUCGAACGCUUUUGGGGGUUUCGGCCCCCAAGGGAGUGGCGCACGGGUGAGUAGCGCGUGGGAACCUGCCUUUCAGUGGGGGAUAACCGAGGGAAACUUCGGCUAAUACCGCAUGCGCCCCCGGGAGUGAUCCUGGGGGGAAAGAUUGAUCGCUGAAAGAGGGGCCCGCGUCCGAUUAGGUAGUUGGUGGGGUAACGGCCUACCAAGCCUGCGAUCGGUAGCUGGUCUGAGAGGAUGAUCAGCCACACUGGGACUGAGACACGGCCCAGACUCCUACGGGAGGCAGCAGUGGGGAACAUUGGACAAUGGGCGCAAGCCUGAUCCAGCAAUGCCGCGUGAGUGAUGAAGGCCUUAGGGUUGUAAAGCUCUUUCGCCCGCGACGAUGAUGACGGUAGCGGGAGAAGAAGCCCCGGCUAACUUCGUGCCAGCAGCCGCGGUAAUACGAAGGGGGCGAGCGUUGUUCGGAAUCACUGGGCGUAAAGGGCGCGUAGGCGGCCCUCCUUGUCGCGUGUGAAAGCCCCGGGCUCAACCUGGGAACGGCGCGCGAGACGGGGGGGCUGGAGUUCGGGAGAGGAGCGUGGAAUUCCCAGUGUAGAGGUGAAAUUCGUAGAUAUUGGGAAGAACACCGGUGGCGAAGGCGGCGCUCUGGACCGAGACUGACGCUGAGGCGCGAAAGCGUGGGGAGCAAACAGGAUUAGAUACCCUAGUAGUCC